rnacentral:rRNA from 1 species
UGAGGAACCUGUCCCGAUCUCUGGAAUAACGAGUGGAAACAUUCGCUAAUACCGGAUGCCGUCGGACCAUCGCAUGGUGGACUGACGAAAGGGUUACCGGAUUGGGAGGGACUCGCGGCCUAUCAGCUAGUUGGUGAGGUAACGGCUCACCAAGGCGUCGACGGGUANCUGGUCUGAGAGGAUGAUCAGCCACACUGGGACUGAGACACGGCCCAGACUCCUACGGGAGCAG